AUAACUGCUGUUCCCUCUGCUGGGAAUUUUCUUCCCCCAAUUAACCACAUGCCUUUCCUCCUCACCUUCCAGGUCUCUCUUCAAAUGUCACCUUCUCGGGUAGGAUUUCUUGAGUGCUCUAUUUUAAGUUAUAAAUAGAUGCCUCAUGCUGGCAUUUCCUGCCUUGCUUUCUUCCAUAGCACUUCCUGCCAUCUGAAAUGCUGCUGGUUUACUUUGAUUGCCUCUCUCCUCUGAAAGACUGGAAGUUCCUCGAGGGCAAUGAUUUUGUUGCAAGGCUAAAUCCUCAGUACCUGAAACAUACUUCACACUUGAUCACUUUCCUGGAUCCCUGGGAUCUUCCUGGGAUUCUUGCCAAAUCCAGUUUCCAGUUCCCAGGAUGGCCACAAUUUUGCUGAAAUAUCUGAACACUCAGCAUCAAUAUAAACAUUGGAAUCACUUCAAAGAAUGUUUUACGCAUUGGACAAAUGCAAGAUAGACACCAUAAAUGCUCACCUACUGCAACUAUCUAAAUAUCUACUUUGAUCUCAUCCUCUUGAAUGAUUUUGAUCAAUGAUAAUGACUGGGAGAAGAGAUUAAAGAUAGGAAAAAUGAAGAAAUGCCAAGUUUUACAGUAUCCCAUUGUGAAACAUUACAUUAAACCACAUUUAUCAAUAAAUAAAUGGUCUUCUAUGUUUCCUUGAGCUGAGGCCUUGAGACUGUCCUUGUGAAUACAAAAUGAAAAUUAGAAAAACAGACACUUCAUAAUGAACAUCAGUAGGAUCUGUAUAUGGUACUAAAGGCAUAAUUCAUUCAAAAGGCUGAGCAACUGACAAUCAAUGCUUUGAGCACAAAUUCACAUUAUGAUUUUGACAAAUUCACACUAUCAUUUUCAAAAGAAAUAGUGAGGCAAAGCUAUAAAAUUCUUUUAUAAAAAAGAAAACUUACUGGGAUGUGUGAAGGCAAAAUCUUGGACUCUGCUUUUAUUACCAUUUUGCUCUUCCAAAAUGAGCAAAUCAUCUACAGAAGUAAAAGAUUUAGUAGUAACUUUAUUCUGAUGAGCUAGAAUGAGAGUAGAGCCAGAAUAGAGAUUAGAAACUCAUCAAGGGGAUGGAAUCAGAGUGAACAGUUGUUGGCAUUUGUUAUCUGGAGUCAUCUAUGAAGUAAUGUGAGCUCAGGAUGCUAACACAUGGUCUAUGACUAAAAAAAUAGUUGCAGAAACAAGAGUGAGGCAAGACAUUGACUUGCAGAAGGUUAUGAUUUUGAAAUUCAUUAAGGUUUUCAGGUUGGUUGUGGGCCCAGACUAAUGCUUAGGAAAAGAUCUAGGGGCUGCUUGAAUGCAACCCCAACAAGUUAUAUGCCUGUAAAACUUGCAGAUCUGAAUAUCUCACAUUUACAACCCAUAGACAUGAAGAGAAAGUAUCGCGAAAUUAGUAAGAGAUUUGGACUCAAGGGUUUCCUCGGCAACUUAUAAAACAUAUGUAUCCGAGUUGAUUUUUAAACUUCUCUAAGGCUCAUUUUCUGAUUGGCAAAAUGGCAAUACCACUAUACCACUAUUACCACCACCAUUACUACUCCUAGAAUAAAAGUGAUCUAAAGCUAUUGAGAUAUAUCAAAAACAUAUUUGAAAGCAUU